CCGGUCGCGCCGGGGCCGCUGGGCUCUGAGGUGCUGGGCUGCCCGCCCGCCAGCAGCGACUGGCUGGGCACCGAGUCGCGCGAGGGGCUGCGGCCGCAAGCUCAGGAGCGCAGCCUCCAGCUUCUUCCCAAGGGCGGUCUCGCCCUUCGGCCCCUCGGCCCCUCAGCCCCGCAGUAGAGCGGCCUCCGGCUUCUCCCCAGGGGCGACCUCGGGCGCUUCUGACGGCGGCCCUGCUCCUCUGUCACCGGGGAGCCGCAGUGGGGCCCCUGGCCCCUUGGCCGUGGGUUCCAGGACGCUGCUGCAAGCACAGGGAGCUGAGAGAAAACCAGGGCUGGACCGCAGUUAAAGCGCUGCAAGCGGGUUCCGCCCGGGGCGGUUCACAGAGGGCGCAGGAGACCCCGGUGUGGAGCCAGGAUCACCCCACACACGGGGGGGCGGAAAAGAAAGGCGCCCCCCCGAAAGCUGAGCCUUACGUUUCGUGUGGCCCACAAAGCUGAGGACCCAAGCCUGGGACCCAGCAUCUCCUAACUGGGAGCCCGCUCCGUAGAGGUGAGGCAGGAGCCAGGACCUCCAGGCGGUUCCGCGGCAAAGACCAGGAAGAGGACAGAAAGCCAGAGAGCUGCACGUCACGGGGCCUCGAUAUAUGUUUGUCCUACUGGACCACAGUCAAGUUGGCACAUAAGGUGCGCACAGGUCAGGAUGAAGUGGAAAGAAACGCAAGCCUGCCUGGGCCCUGGCACGAACUUGCUGAUGACCUUCGGCAGUUCCCUUCCCCUCUCUGGGCCUCUGUUUCCGCACCUGUAAAAUGGGCCUCCAGGUGCCUUUGAUCCAGUCCUCUGGGCUCCUGCCCCGGGUUGGGGAUGGUGCCACAGAGAAAGAGGGAAAGGCCUGGGGGAGGGAGCUGGAGGUGGUUUUGUCUGUGCAGGAGGGAGUAGCGUGGGCUGGGAAGGGCAAAGGCAGACCCCCCCCCUUUCUGAAGGCCCGUUCUGGGGCUGGGGACCGGACUGGGGGCUUGGACCACAGGGAGGUUCUAAGAAGGCAGUUUGGGCCCAGCACGGGGGCUCUCUGACCACGAGGCCUUCUGUGGGAGGUGGCGAGCGCCCUGCGGGGGCGGUGUUGAGACCAGGCAGUCCCCCCGGGAGGACCGGACUGGGGCUGACUCGGAGUUCUGAAGGCCCUUCCAAGUCCAGGUGUCUGCCGUCCUCAGGACCACAGGCGGACGCGGCUCAGUCCUGUCCGUAUCUUAGGCAAAACUCACAGCGCACUGAGACCAGACCGUGCCAAGGGCUGCCAGGAACUGGGAGCAAUGGAACGUCCCUGUGCUACUGCCAGGAAUGCUGAGCAGUGCAGGCACUUUGAAAAGCAGCUUAGCUGCUCCUUAUAAAGGUGACCACACACCUGCCGUCUGACUCAGUCGUCCCAUCCCUAGAGGUUUGGAAUGAACGAGAAGUCUGUUCACACUGGAACCUGUGCGGGAAGGUUUCUAGCGGCGUUCUUCACAGAGCCCCCAAACCGAAUUCAACCCAGAUGUUUUCAGCAGGUGAAUGGGCGAGCAGCCUGGGGUACAUCUGCGUGGUGGAACACUUCUCUGUGAUAAAAAGGCAGGGGUGACCUGUGCACGUGCCGGCGUGGGCCAGUCUCAGAACCAGCACAGCCGCUGCAGGAGGACAAGCACGCAGGGCGGCUGCUCUGUGAGGUGCUCCCGUGAUGCUCUGGGAGAGGCAAGGUUACGGACCAGGGGUUGCAGGGUGGGGGUGGGGAGCAGGCCGGAGUACAGCCGGGGGACCCCGGGGGAGGUGGGUCUGCUGUAUCUUGGCUGUGACAGUGGUUACAGGAUGGAGCCUUUGUCGACACUUGGAACUGUACGUCCUGGGAGAACUCUAAGGUGUGUAGGAGAAGAACAAAUAACAGACAAUAAAAGUGGCAGAAAUGGUAGAAAGCUGCAUCCCUGACCCAGAGCAGGGGCUUACUUUAGGUGCAGGCCCAUCGCCCCCGUCAGGAUGGCCGAUGUGAGUUCGUGUCACUCUGCGCGUGUACAGAAGCAAGUGCGGGCACGGAUGUGGAGGAGGUGGAGCCCCGUGCGCUGCUCCCGGGAAUGUAAAACGGUGCAGCUGCUGUUCCUGCGUCCACCCGAGGGCAUUGAAAGCAGAGGCGCAAAGAGAUGUGAGCGUGUGCGCCACAUUCACAAUAGCGUGGCUCCCUGAAGCCAAACGUGGGAGCAACUCGAUGCCCAUUAAGGGAUGAAUGGAAAUGCCGUGUGGGACAUCCGCGCCGUGGGACAUCCUUCAGCCUUAGCGAGGAAGGAGCUCUUGACACCUGCUGCAACAACAGUGAUUUGUUCACACCCUGAAUAUCGCCGGAGGAGAGGGGUCGAGUGUGAAGGAGCCUCUGUCCACAGCAGAUGCCGCCAGAGUCCUGCCCAGGUGCCCUUGCCUCAGCCCCGCAGCACGCACGGAUCUGCUUGCCACUGCCUGGGCCGGCGUGCCACUGCUUGGGAUUGUCCCUGAAAGCUCUCAAGUCACUCAUCCGUCCAUCCGUUCUUUCUUCCAUCUGUCCAUCCUUCCUUCCAUCCUUCC